CCUACUUUCAUCAUAAGUGAUGAAUAUUGGUCAAUGGGCGCGAGCCUGAACCAGCCAAGUAGCGUGAAGGAUGACUGCCCUAUGGGUUGUAAACUUCUUUUAUAUGGGAAUAAAACGUUCCACGUGUGGGAUUUUGUAUGUACCAUAUGAAUAAGGAUCGGCUAACUCCGUGCCAGCAGCCGCGGUAAUACGGAGGAUCCGAGCGUUAUCCGGAUUUAUUGGGUUUAAAGGGAGCGUAGGUGGAUUGUUAAGUCAGUUGUGAAAGUUUGCGGCUCAACCGUAAAAUUGCAGUUGAAACUGGCAGUCUUGAGUACAGUAGAGGUGGGCGGAAUUCGUGGUGUAGCGGUGAAAUGCUUAGAUAUCACGAAGAACUCCGAUUGCGAAGGCAGUUCACUGGACUGCAACUGACACUGAGGCUCGAAAGUGUGGGUAUCAAACAGGAUUAGAUACCCCAGUAGUC
rnacentral:rRNA from 1 species